AGUUUGAUCCUGGCUCAGAUUGAACGCUGGCGGCAUGCCUUACACAUGCAAGUCGAACGGCAGCACGGGAGCAAUCCUGGUGGCGAGUGGCGAACGGGUGAGUAAAGUAUCGGAACGUACCUUUCAGUGGGGGAUAACGUAGCGAAAGUUGCGCUAAUACCGCAUAUUCUGUGAGCAGGAAAGCAGGGGACCGCAAGGCCUUGCGCUCUUUGAGCGGCCGAUGUCAGAUUAGCUAGUUGGUGAGGUAACGGCUUACCAAGGCGACGAUCUGUAGCGGGUCUGAGAGGAUGAUCCGCCACACUGGAACUGAGACACGGUCCAGACUCCUACGGGAGGCAGCAGUGGGGAAUUUUGGACAAUGGGCGCAAGCCUGAUCCAGCCAUGCCGCGUGAGUGAAGAAGGCCUUCGGGUUGUAAAGCUCUUUCGGCCGGGAAGAAAUCGCAUGGGUUAAUACCCUGUGUGGAUGACGGUACCGGAAUAAGAAGCACCGGCUAACUACGUG
rnacentral:rRNA from 1 species